rnacentral:misc_RNA from 1 species
GUAGGUGAACCUGCGGAAGGAUCAUUAACACGUAUCCAACGUUAAACAACCCUGUGAACUUUCACCCGCUCUCGUAGCCCAGGAGGAACAGCAAUCCCGGUAAAUCAAUUGGCAGAAAAGUUUUGAUUCGGGACCUCUGUCCAAAAGGUAUCAAGUUACGAUCGAGCUAGGAGCAGUGGCAUGGUUUCCCUAAGCAGUGAAGGAUCCACUGAGUAAGGAUAACGCAUCACGGUUGCUAGAGGUCGAUCACCGGCCGGCAGACAUGUCACAGGGCUAUAUGCCUGCCUUCUCUAGCCCCGCGGAAACGUCUGGGGCACCAAAACGAACAACUGUUAACAAUGGAUAUCUUGGUUCUC